CAGCCGCCGCGGGAAUACGUAGGGGGCUAGCGUUGCUCGGAAUUACUGGGCGUAAAGGGAGCGUAGGCGGAUGAAUUAGUCAGGGGUGAAAUCCCGGGGCUCAACCCCGGAACUGCCUUUGAUACUGUUCAUCUUGAGUAUGGGAGAGGUGUGUGGAACUCCGAGUGUAGAGGUGAAAUUCGUAGAUAUUCGGAAGAACACCAGUGGCGAAGGCGACACACUGGCCCAUUACUGACGCUGAGGCUCGAAAGCGUGGGGAGCAAACAGGAUUAGAUACCCCCGUAGUCCCUGUCUCUUAUAC
rnacentral:rRNA from 1 species